UUCUUCGGAAGAUGAGUGGCGAACGGGUGAGUAAUACAUAGGUAACCUGCCCCUGUGCGGGGGAUAACAGGAGGAAACUCCUGCUAAUACCGCAUAGCCAUGAGCACCGCAUGGAGCUCAUGCCAAAUAUCCUUUCGGGGAUAGCGCAGGGAUGGACCUAUGGCGCAUUAGCUGGUUGGCGGGGCAACGGCCCACCAAGGCAACGAUGCGUAGCCGGCCUGAGAGGGCGGACGGCCACAUUGGGACUGAGACACGGCCCAGACUCCUACGGGAGGCAGCAGUAGGGAAUUUUCGGCAAUGGGGGAAACCCUGACCGAGCAACGCCGCGUGAGCGAAGAAGGCCUUCGGGUCGUAAAGCUCUGUUGUAAAGGAAGAACGGCGCAUACAGGAAAUGGUAUGCGAGUGACGGUACUUUACCAGAAAGCCACGGCUAACUACGUGCCAGCAGCCGCGGUAAUACGUAGGUGGCGAGCGUUAUCCGGAAUCAUUGGGCGUAAAGAGGGAGCAGGCGGCCGCAAGGGUCUGUGGUGAAAGCCCGAAGCUAAACUUCGGUAAGCCAUGGAAACCGGGCGGCUAGAGUGCGGAAGAGGAUCGUGGAAUUCCAUGUGUAGCGGUGAAAUGCGUAGAUAUAUGGGAGGAACACCAGUGGCGAAGGCGACGGUCUGGGCCGCAACUGACGCUCAUUCCCGAAAAGCGUGGGGAGCAAAUAGGAUUAG
rnacentral:rRNA from 1 species